rnacentral:rRNA from 1 species
UACGCAGGGGGCUAGCGUUGCUCGGAAUCAUUGGGCGUAAAGCGCGUGUAGGCGGCUCGGUAAGUCUGUUCUGAAAGUCCAGGGCUCAACCCUGGGAUGCGGAUGGAUACUGUCGAGCUCGAGUCCGGAAGAGGCGAGUGGAAUUCCUGGUGUAGCGGUGAAAUGCGCAGAUAUCAGGAGGAACACCAAUGGCGAAGGCAGCUCGCUGGGACGUGACUGACGCUGAGACGCGAAAGCGUGGGGAGCGAUCCGG